GACGAACGCUGGUUGCGUGCUUAACACAUGCAAGUCGAACGGAAAGGCCCUGCUUUUGUGGGGUGCUCGAGUGGCGAACGGGUGAGUAACACGUGAGUAACCUGCCCUUGACUUUGGGAUAACUUCAGGAAACUGGGGCUAAUACCGGAUAGGAGCUCCUGCUGCAUGGUGGGGGUUGGAAAGUUUCGGCGGUUGGGGAUGGACUCGCGGCUUAUCAGCUUGUUGGUGGGGUAGUGGCUUACCAAGGCUUUGACGGGUAGCCGGCCUGAGAGGGUGACCGGCCACAUUGGGACUGAGAUACGGCCCAGACUCCUACGGGAGGCAGCAGUGGGGAAUAUUGCACAAUGGGCGGAAGCCUGAUGCAGCAACGCCGCGUGCGGGAUGACGGCCUUCGGGUUGUAAACCGCUUUCGCCUGUGACGAAGCGUGAGUGACGGUAAUGGGUAAAGAAGCACCGGCUAACUACGUGCCAGCAGCCGCGGUGAUACGUAGGGUGCGAGCGUUGUCCGGAUUUAUUGGGCGUAAAGGGCUCGUAGGUGGUUGAUCGCGUCGGAAGUGUAAUCUUGGGGCUUAACUUCGGGGUGGCAGGCGAUACGGGCAUAACUAGAGUGCUGUAGGGGAGACUGGAAUUCCUGGUGUAGCGGUGGAAUGCGCAGAUAUCAGGAGGAACACCGAUGGCGAAGGCAGGUCUCUGGGCAGUAACUGACGCUGAGGAGCGAAAGCAUGGGGAGCGAACAGGAUUAGAUACCCUGGUAGUCCAUGCUGUAAACGGUGGGCGUUAGGUGUGGGGACCGGUUUGGUUUCUGUGCCGUAGCUAACGCAUUAAGCGCCCCGCCUGGGGAGUACGGCCGCAAGGCUAAAACUCAAAGGAAUUGACGGGGGCCCGCACAAGCGGCGGAGCAUGUGGAUUAAUUCGAUGCAACGCGAAGAACCUUACCUGGGUUUGACAUGCACCAGACGGUUGUAGAGAUACGUACCUCCCUUUGUGGUUGGUGUGCAGGUGGUGCAUGGUUGUCGUCAGCUCGUGUCGUGAGAUGUUGGGUUAAGUCCCGCAACGAGCGCAACCCUUGUCUUAUGUUGCCAGCACUUUGGGUGGGGACUCAUGAGAGACUGCCGGGGUUAACUCGGAGGAAGGUGGGGAUGACGUCAAGUCAUCAUGCCCCUUAUGUCCAGGGCUUCACGCAUGCUACAAUGGCUGGUACAGAGAGUGGCGAGCCUGUGAGGGUGAGCGAAUCUCGGAAAGCCGGUCUCAGUUCGGAUUGGGGUCUGCAACUCGACCUCAUGAAGUCGGAGUCGCUAGUAAUCGCAGAUCAGCAACGCUGCGGUGAAUACGUUCCCGGGGCU
rnacentral:rRNA from 1 species